rnacentral:rRNA from 1 species
AACGAACGCUGGCGGCAGGCUUAACACAUGCAAGUCGAGCGCCCCGCAAGGGGAGCGGCAGACGGGUGAGUAACGCGUGGGCACGUACCUUUUGGUUCGUAACAACUCCGGGAAACUGGAGCUAAUACCGGAUAAGCCCUAACGGGGAAAGAUUUAUCGCCGAAAGAUCGGCCCGCGUCUGAUUAGCUAGUUGGUGAGGUAACGGCUCACCAAGGCGACGAUCAGUAGCUGGUCUGAGAGGAUGAUCAGCCACACUGGGACUGAGACACGGCCCAGACUCCUACGGGAAGCAGCAGUGGGGAAUAUUGGACAAUGGGCGCAAGCCUGAUCCAGCCAUGCCGCGUGAGUGAUGAAGGCCUUAGGGUUGUAAAGCUCUUUUGUCCGGGAAGAUAAUGACUGUACCGGAAGAAUAAGCCCCGGCUAACUUCGUG